UUCAAGGAGCACCACCAAAAUGACAAAGAUUUGUACCCAGCCAGUUGUAUGGUACAUAUGUAGGAGAAAGUAAGCUGGUAGAUUAUCUGUAUCACUCUACUUAGUUUUGGUUCUCUAACUGAAUGGGUGGUUUUAAAUUCCUCUUAGGAGAUACUGGCAGAGCAUUUGUGUUCCCUGCACAUAUAUUUGUAAUGGAAUAUGAUGAUUAUUUCUGACUUACAAAGGUGCUUACAGUGAGAGCGGCGUUAGUCUCUUCUCACUGAUGACAGGUGACAGGGUGAGGGGAAAUGGCCUCAAGUUGCACAAGGAUAAAUUUCAGUUGGAUAUUAGGAAAAACUUCUUUACAGAAAGGGUUGUUAUGCACUGAAGUAGGCUCCCUGGGGAGGUGGUUGAAUCACCAUGCCUGGAUGUGUUUAAAAACUGUUUGGAUGUGGUGCUCAGGGACAUCAUUUAGCUGAGGGUUGUUAGGGUGGUGCGGUUGGAACACGGUUGGACUUGAUUAUCUUUAAGGUCUUUUCCAGACCCCAGAAUGCAACUUCUGGUUGCAUUAAUAGGACUUGCGGAGGAACUUUGUGUGGAAAUGUUGGUUGCUAAUGGUAUAUUUGAUGGAACCUUCAGCUAAGAAGUUCAAUGUAUUUAUAUAGUGCUAUCAUACAUUUGCAUUUCUAAAUGGCAAGGUUUUCUCACUUAAAUUUGGGGAUUUAAGGUAUUGGUCAUGAAUUUUAGACAUGUAAGCAGUUCAAUC